AUGUUUUCCAGAAGAUCUAUACAACCUGGCGUUUGGCCGUGGCUUCCAGGACAGGCUGGAUGCAGAGUGAAGUCCUCUCCUCACUGUCAAUGUUUGCAGAUGUCUUCUUGUAUAAACUUCGUAUUCUUGAGACUUUCAAUUAGGUUUUUACUUAACUGGACUUUUAAAAUUGCCAUGCACAUAACUCUACCAGUUAGAAUCUUGAGCUAACAUGGGUUUUUGGGUUUUUGGUUUUUGGUUUUACUUUGAUGAAUGUUUAACAUUUGCAUGCUGGAUGUGGGGGUGGAGGUCAUUUAUCUGCUUUUCAUUGCUUCUUGGUUAUACUUAGUGACUUUCAGGUAAGGUGUGGAAGGCGUGGUACAGGGUGAAUUGCAGGCCGCACUGUGGCGCCGUGGAGGACAGGUGCGGGCUGCAGUGGUGUGCACGGUGGAUGAGAGACAAGAGGAGACUUCCAUCCUUGAGGGAAACACACAACAAUUUAAAAAACUGAUCGUCUAGCUUACAUGAGGUCCAACAAAUUCAGUUUGCAAAGUUUAACUUCCAAGUUAAUUUAGUAAUUUUUCCCCUAAGUCAUUAAUUUAGUAGCUUAUGUUUAAAUAUAUUUCUUUUGUCUAAAGGAGGCCAUAAAUUCUAAAAUGAAUGACUAAACAUGUAAUAAUUUAGGCAUACAGCACCUGAAGGGAAAACUGCCAGUAUGCUAAAUAUUGGAUACAGAUGCUUUUAAAAAUAUAAUGUAGCAUUCUUACAAUGCAUGUGCUCUUAGCGUGUAACUUGGUGGGUAGUUUUGAACUAUAUUUGUGGGAAUGUGUAUCUUGAAUACUUGAGGCUACCACUGCAGAUGUGUGUGUGAGAUGUAUAAAUACUGAAUGUUAUUCUCCCUUCCCUUAAAUGGAAAACAUUAGCUCCCUUUUAUUUUCAUUUUUAUUUUUUAUUUUUUGAAGUGGACUCUUGCUCUCGUUGCCCAGGCUGGAGUGCAAUGGCACAAUCUCGGCCCACUGCAAUUUCUGCUUCCCGGGUUGAAGUGAUUCUCCUCUCUCAGCCUUCUGAGUAGCUGGGACUACAGGCACCCGCCACCACGCCCAGCUAAUUUUUGUAUUUUUGUUAGAGAUGGAGUUUUGCCAUAUUGGCCAGGCUGGUCUUAAACUCCUGACUUCAGGUGAUCUGCCCACUCCGACCUCCCAAAGUGCUGGGAUUACAGGCGUGAGCCACCGUGCCCAGCCAGCUCCCUUCUGUAAUGAUUUUUUAUACAGUUGUUUUUGCUUUUUGUUUUUUUGAGACGGGGUUUCACUGUGUCACCCAAGCUGGAGUGUCAGUGAUGCAAAUCUAGGCUGACUGCAGCCUUCACCUCCUGGGCUCAGGUGAUCCUCCCACCUCAGCUUCCUGAGUAGCUGGGAAUAGACACAUGUCACCACGCCCAGCUAAUUUUUUUUUUUUUUUUUUUUUUUUGUAUUUUUAGUAGAGACAGGGUUUUGCCAUGUUUUCCAGGCUGGUCUCGAGCUCCUGGGCUCAAGCGAUCUGCCCGCCUCAGCCUCCCAAACUGCUGGGAUUACAGGCGUGAGCACCACAUCUGGCCCAUUUUUUUUUUUUUUUCCUUCCAGGAUUAGAAGUCGACUUUCAGAAAACCUUCAACCUUGCAAACUUAAUUUCCAUAACAAUAUGCCUCUAGGAUAAAAACAAGACAGAAAGAAAGUAUGUGUGGACUGCAGUUAAAAAUUUUCUACACAGCAUAGCUUAGGAGAGUUGACAUUUACAAAGAGCAGGAGGCCCCUUCAGUGCCUUCUAGGCAUUGGGAAUGGCGGUCUGUGGGCGACCCUAACGUGUGCGGCGUCCUGAGACUUGAUCGUGGUGCUCACGCUUUUCCCAAGGGCCCACCGGGAGUACCAGAGACUCUUCUUCUGCAGUCGGCCAGCCAGGCAGCAGCUGCUGGAGAAGGGACAAACAGUAAAAGACAGAUGUACACGGUGUUGUUGUGGCAGAGAGGUUAAAACCAGGCUCACUCUGUUCUUACAGUUUUAAAAAAACUAAUAAUGAAGUUCUUGAAUAUGUAUUGCAUUUCAGGAUUUUAAAGCAGUUAUGGGUGUGUCUGUGUGUCUCUCUAGCUCCCGGGUGCUCCCUGUGAAGAGAUCUCAGAGACGCCACCUUUCCUUGCUGAGGUGACAGGGUCUGGAGAGGUGUGAACCCCGUGGUGAGGGGGGUGACUGACCUGGGGGGAGGCUGGGUCAGCGGUGGGGAUCCACCCCCACUACACGUUUCUGUAGGGAAUCCACAGUUCUAAGUCUUUAUGAUAUGGGUAACAUGAACCUGGAAGAGGUGUUAUUUUUUAAGAAGUAAGUGCCAUGCUCUUUUUUCCUCAUACUUCCCCAUGUUUAAGCAGCAUUGAAGGAUAAGGCACUAGUAGCAUGUUGGUUUGGAAACAAUCUUG
ensembl:lncRNA